CGGAGAUUCGAGAGAGUGUAGGGUGGCAGAGGAAAACUCGGGCGGCCGCGGCAACGUGAGAAACAUGCGGUUCGACGAUUCAGUCGUUUUUGUGUAACUCGGCGCUCGAGAACUGGUAAACAGUAAGUAAACUGCGUUCGAAAA
ensembl:ncRNA C14F11.15 ncRNA